rnacentral:rRNA from 1 species
ACGCUCGACACCUACGGAGGCAGCAGUCGGGAAUAUUGCGCAAUGGAGGAAACUCUGACGCAGUGACGCCGCGUAUAGGAAGAAGGUUUUCGGAUUGUAAACUAUUGUCGUUUAGGGAAGAGAAAGGACAGUACCUAAGGAGGAAGCUCCGGCUAACUACGUGCCAACAGCCACGGUAAUCUGAGCGGCUGGCAAGGC